rnacentral:tRNA from 1 species
UUGCGGAUUAGAGAAACGGUUAUCUCGUUAGCCUCAUAAGCUAAAAACAGUUGGUUCAACUCCAACAUCCGCAAU